rnacentral:rRNA from 1 species
UCCUACGGGAGGCAGCAGUAGGGAAUCUUCCACAAUGGACAAAAGUCUGAUGGAGCAACGCUGCGUGAGUGAAGAAGGGUUUCGGCUCGUAAAGCUCUGUUGGUAGUGAAGAAAGAUAGAGGUAGUAACUGGCCUUUAUUUGACGGGAAUUACUUAGAAAGUCACGGCUAACUACGUGCCAGCAGCCGCGGUAAUACGGAGGUGGGAAGCGGUGUCCGGAUUUAUUGGGCGUAAA